rnacentral:rRNA from 1 species
GAUGAACGUGGCGGCGUGCCUAAUACAUGCAAGUCGAGCGAACAGACGAGGAGCUUGCUCCUCUGACGUUAGCGGCGGACGGGUGAGUAACACGUGGAUAACCUACCUAUAAGACUGGGAUAACUUCGGGAAACCGGAGCUAAUACCGGAUAAUAUAUUGAACCGCAUGGUUCAAUAGUGAAAGACGGUUUUGCUGUCACUUAUAGAUGGAUCCGCGCCGCAUUAGCUAGUUGGUAAGGUAAAGGCUUACCAAGGCAACGAUGCGUAGCCGACCUGAGAGGGUGAUCGGCCACACUGGAACUGAGACACGGUCCAGACUCCUACGGGAGGCAGCAGUAGGGAAUCUUCCGCAAUGGGCGAAAGCCUGACGGAGCAACGCCGCGUGAGUGAUGAAGGUCUUCGGAUCGUAAAACUCUGUUAUUAGGGAAGAACAAAUGUGUAAGUAACUAUGCACGUCUUGACGGUACCUAAUCAGAAAGCCACGGCUAACUACGUGCCAGCAGCCGCGGUAAUA